rnacentral:tRNA from 2 species
GGGCCUGUAGCUCAGCUAGGUAGAGCAUCUGGCUUUUAACCAGGUGGCCGAGGGUUCGAAUCCCUCCAGGCCCG